rnacentral:tRNA from 1 species
GGAGAUACAGCUCAGUGGCAGAGAACUUGCCUAACAUGUGUGAGGCCCUGGGUUCGAUUCCAAGUAUCACCA